UCGGAUCGAAUGGCAGCCGAAUAUGAGAGCCUCACAUCCCCUAACCCUACUCAUUUCGCUAUAUAUAUGCCGCCUCAACCUUCAUCUCCCAACAUGGUGCUUCAAUCUCUUCUAUCUAGCCACUUCAGACGAUCUUCAAUCUCUCUCGCUGCCGUUCGUAUUUCACACCAUUCAUUUAGUCUAUUUGGAGUUAUAGCAGGUGAGCAUUUACAAUCGGUCAGUGGUUCUCUCAUUUAGAGUGAAGAUGGAUGUACAAGCAAUUGAGCCUAUAAGUGAUAGAAUUGCCAUCACAACUUUGGUGGGGUGGUAGAGGAUUUGGGCCUUUUGGGUAGAGGUAAAAUUUGGUGUAAUUUAAGGGUAGUAUUGUGUAACCUUUCCGUUCAAAAAAAGUGAUAGAAUUUGAUGAAAAAUGGAACUGGACAUUAUACUAAGAUUUGACUACUCAUAACUAAAAUGUUUAUUGUUUGCAUAUUAUAGAUUUGGUGUAAAAAAUUUAUGUCAUAAAUCAUGUAUGGUUUGUGUUUUCUUUUAAGAUUUCAUGUAUGGUUUGUGUUUUCUCUUUA